rnacentral:rRNA from 1 species
UACGUAGGGGGCAAGCGUUAUCCGGAUUUACUGGGUUUAAAGGGUGCGUAGGCGGAUCGUUAAGUCAGUGGUCAAAUUGAGGGGCUCAACCCCUUCCCGCCAUUGAAACUGGCGAUCUUGAGUGGAAGAGAAGUAUGCGGAAUGCGUGGUGUAGCGGUGAAAUGCAUAGAUAUCACGCAGAACCCCGAUUGCGAAGGCAGCAUGCCGGCUUCCGACUGACGCUGAAGCACGAAAGCGUGGGGAUCGAACAGG